rnacentral:rRNA from 1 species
UACGAAGGGGGCUAGCGUUGCUCGGAGUCACUGGGCGUAAAGGGUGCGUAGGCGGGUCUUUAAGUCAGGGGUGAAAUCCUGGAGCUCAACUCCAGAACUGCCUUUGAUACUGGCGAUCUUGAGUCCGGGAGAGGUGAGUGGAACUGCGAGUGUAGAGGUGAAAUUCGUAGAUAUCGGGAAGAACACCCGUGGCGAAGGCGGCUCUCUGGAACGGUACUGACGCUGAGACGCGAAAGCGUGGGGAGCGAACAGG